UACAGAGGUCUCAAGCGUUGUUCGGAUUCAUUGGGCGUAAAGGGUGCGUAGGCGGCGCGGUAAGUCGGGUGUGAAAGCCCCCGGCUCAACCAGGGAAUUGCGCCCUAAACCGGCGGGCUGGAGUGAGAUAGGGGUGUGUGGAACUUCCAGUGGAGCGGUGAAAUGUGUUGAUAUUGGAAGGAACGCCGGUGGCGAAAGCGACACACUGGGUCUCAACUGACGCUGAGGCACGAAAGCCAGGGGAGCAAACGGG
rnacentral:rRNA from 1 species